CCUACGGGUGGCAGCAGUGGGGGAUAUUGGACAAUGGGGGGAACCCUGAUCCAGCGACGCCGCGUGAGUGAAGAAGGAGUUCGGUAUGUAAAGCUCUGUCAGCAGGGAAGAAAGAAAUGACGGUACCGGACCAAGAAGCCGCGGCUAACUACGCGCCAGCAGCCGCGUUAAUACGUAGGGGGCAAGCGUUAUCCGGAAUUACUGGGUGUAAAGGGAGCGUAGCCGGUUAAGGAAGUCUGGCGUGAAAGGCCGGGGCCCAACCCCGGGACUGCUCUGGAAACUCUUGAACUUGAGUGCAGGAGAGGCAAGCGGAAUUCCUAGUGUCGCGGUGACAUGCGUAGAUCUUA
rnacentral:rRNA from 1 species